UGAAUUAUAUUCAUGGAUCAUUAACACUAUAUGCUAUGAGUAGUGUCUGUAGUAUCAGUACUACAUUUAGUAAUGUCCUAAGCCCCUAACCCAGGCCAUCUCUUCCUGUUCAUGUCGUGAGUUUGCAGUGCAUGAAAGACAGUAAACCCAUUGAAAUUAAACUAUAGUUCAUACACCUGGUAUCCAUGAGAUCUAAUUUACCUUCAGGCUAUAGACUAAUGAUAUACAAUACAGUGAAGGGAAUACUAUCAGACAGUCACUGGAGAGCAGUCUCCUUCUACUCUUCUAGCAAGAGAGAGAUCACAACACAGUAUACAAGGGCUAAAGAGAACAGCACAAACUUGAACUGUAACCACAAGAGGAAACAGUUUGUACAAGAACCACUUCCUGUAUAGUCAGGUGCAUGUUGCUAAGAAAAUAAUUACAUUUAGAGCUGAUUACAGAAAGAGUGGUGAAUGAUGUGAAGAGUGUUUUAGAGCAGUACAGAUGUACUACAUGAA